rnacentral:miRNA from 1 species
UGCAUAGAUCAAAUCUGCAAAUUUUAAAAAGAUUUAAAAAACAUUUGAUACUUCAUUUCAUUAAUUCAAAUAGAUGUAUAAAAUAAUUUUAUAAUUAUCCAUCAAUUUGAAUUAAUAAAAUGAAGUAUCAAAUGAUUUUGAAAUUUUUUAAAAUUUGCAGACUUGAUCUAUAUA